rnacentral:lncRNA from 1 species
GUUUAGUUUCUGAUCCUCCUGCCUCAGCCUCCUAGAAUGCUGGAACUACAGGGCCUUGCUAUGUAGUUCAGACUGACCUUGAACUCACUAUGUAGAACAGGCUGGCUUUGAAUUCCUCCUGCCUCAACCUCCUGAGUGCUGGGAUUAUAGACAUGCACCACCAUGCCCAGCUCCACUGUAAUUGGAUCUUGAAGAAUGAAGAACGUACCAGGAAGAAAACAAGAAGCAAGAAAGAAGCUUUGUGUUCUAGGACAUGGAAACUGCAAGGAUUGAACUCAGGACCUUUCACUUGCAAGGUAGGUGCAGUGCCACUGAGCUAAAUCCUCAGCCCAGUGAUUGAUAUUCUAAAUAGACAUCAAUCUCUCUAGCCCAUAUCCUUUCCAGAAAUUCCUCUUCCGUGACUUGUUUUCCCACUUGAUCCCCAUUUAAUCAAUAUUACCUGGGUAACUGUACUUGCAAU